rnacentral:tRNA from 1 species
AAGAAUUUAAGUUAAUAAAAACUAUGAACCUUCAAAGUUCCUAAUGGCUCCACGCCAAUUCUUA